AUGAUUGUUCCACAGGCGAAUUUGGGAGAUGUUCAGAUUUUGGCUCCAGUCCACCCUGUCUUUCCUGCUGGUCAUACUCCUCUCUGGGGAAGCAGGGUCGAUGCAGAAACUACUGCAGCUGGUCUGGACUUAACUGUGGCUCCUACAGUUCAAUCUCCAGUUCCAGCCCCAGCCUCAAUCUCAGUCUCAACUACAGUACAAGUUGAAGCCCAAGCACCGCCACAAACUCCACCACUGGUCUCAGCACAAAACCAACCACCAGCCAUGUCUCAACCUCCAGCUUCAAUCCCAACUUCAGCCCCAAAACAGGUUUCAAUAGCAGCACCAGCUCCUGCCUCAGCCCCAGUUACAGCACCAGACACAGCUUCUGUCAUCGGUAAACCACAUCACUCAGUCCCAGAUUUGGUCUUGGCCCCAAUACCUGUCACCAUGCCAGUCCCAGUUAAAUCUGUUGCCCCCUCUUUUGCUCCGGCUCCUGUCGCAGCUUCAGUCCAAGCUCCAGUUCUGCUGCCUGCUGGCAUCCAGACAGCCGUCUCUUUGCCUGAGUGUGCCAGCCUGGUCUCAACUCAGCAAAACCUCGAAACAACAUAUGCAUCUAACACCCAUCAACCAGAGUUCAGUGUAGAGGAUGUGCUUCAGGACAAACCAGUAUCUUUACCCAACUACGCUUAUGACAGGUGUGUGUCCUUACAGCUUUUUGUAAUAACCCCAUGUGAUGAACAUGUGUCACCAACCUGAUCAAAUGUUUUCAACUUUUCUUUUGCAGUCUUAACUCUGACGUGACCUCUGGUAAGGAAACAAGUGAUGGCUAUGACAGCUUGGCUAGUGUGGGGAAGGGCGACGGAAAACCCAGGAAACACCACCGCAAGUCUGCCCGUACACGUUCUCGGCAAGAAAAGACCAGCAAACCCAAACUCAGCAUGCUCAAUGUGAGUCAUGGUCUAAUUUUUGACAAUUUAAGUUACUUUUUAAAAUUUUUUAUUAUAAUGUUUCUUAUUGUAAAAUGUGACCUCUGACACCAAAGGUUUGCAACACUGGCGAUAAAAUGGUUGAAUGUCAGCUGGAGACUCACAACCACAAAAUGGUGACAUUUAAAUUCGAUCUGGAUGGAGAUGCUCCAGAGGAGAUUGCCACUUACAUGGUUAGUUCGGCCUGUCGAUGUUUUGUAGUUUUUGUGUUAUCGAUUGGUUAUAUUUGUGAUUUUGUUUAACAUCUUUAUAACUGUUGGCCUGUAGGUGGAGAAUGGCUUCAUCCUGCUGUUAGAGAAGGAGAUCUUCAUUGACCAGCUAAAGGACAUUGUGGAUAAAGCUGAGGACAUGCUGAGUGAAGACAUAGAGGGCGAAAGGGCCUCCACCCUGAGCUGCAGUCCUCAACAAGGCCAGAUGUCUGAGGGGCUAGUGGGAGAGGUAGGAGCUGUACAGAUGCAUUACACUUGCUUAUACAGUACAUAGAAUUAGACGUGGACAGAGAUGAAUUGAGUGGCAAGUAUCAUAUUCAGUGAGCUUACAUCUAUUUAUCACCCUGUAGAGUCAGCAGCUUGGAGCACCUCAGCCUGUCUAUCAGCAGAAUGGUAAAUCAAAUUUCAGCAUAGAUGAACUUUAAUGAUCCCAAACUAGGAAAUUCCAGUAAGAAUGUGGUGGUAACUUCCUAAACUCUUGGAUUUGCAGUUCUUCAUACAGGGAAGAGAUGGUUCAUAAUCUGCCCUGUAGAAGAGACACCCACAUCCAGCCAGGAGACCCCAUCUGACGGCACGACCACACAGUCUCCUGGGAGUUCAACCACUACCCAGCCUGCUGACAGUGGCACUGCAAGGCCAUCUGCAUCCAGAGGUCAGUUCAGAUUCGUGGAAAAAUAGCACUACCAUGUGGCGGCUGAAUGAAAGACAUCCUCCAGCUCUCAUUGUGCUUUUGAUGACUCUGAAGCUUAGAAUCUCAUUUUAUAUAUUUUGCUUAUUGUUUUUUGUUUCCUCUGCCUGCAG
rnacentral:lncRNA from 1 species